rnacentral:rRNA from 1 species
GGGCGCAAGCCUGAUCCAGCCAUGCCGCGUGUGUGAAGAAGGCCUUAUGGUUGUAAAGCACUUUAAGCGAAGAGGAGGCUACUUUAGUUAAUACCUAGAGAUAGUGGACGUUACUCGCAGAAUAAGCACCGGCUAACUCUGUGCCAGCAGCCGCGGUAAUACAGAGGGUGCAAGCGUUAAUCGGAUUUACUGGGCGUAAAGCGCGCGUAGGCGGCUAAUUAAGUCAAAUGUGAAAUCCCCGAGCUUAACUUGGGAAUUGCAUUCGAUACUGGUUAGCUAGAGUGUGGGAGAGGAUGGUAGAAUUCCAGGUGUAGCGGUGAAAUGCGUAGAGAUCUGGAGGAAUACCGAUGGCGAAGGCAGCCAUCUGGCCUAACACUGACGCUGAGGUGCGAAAGCAUGGGGAGCAAACAGGAUUAGAUACCCUGGUAGUCCAUGCCGUAAACGAUGUCUACUAGCCGUUGGGGUCUUUGAGGCUGUAGUGGCGCAGCUAACGCGAUAAGUAGACCGCCCUGG